rnacentral:rRNA from 1 species
CAGUAGCCGCGGGAAUACGUAGGGUGCAAGCGUUAAUCGGAAUUACUGGGCGUAAAGCGUGCGCAGGCGGUUAUAUAAGACAGAUGUGAAAUCCCCGGGCUCAACCUGGGAACUGCAUUUGUGACUGUAUAGCUAGAGUACGGCAGAGGGGGAUGGAAUUCCGCGUGUAGCAGUGAAAUGCGUAGAUAUGCGGAGGAACACCGAUGGCGAAGGCAAUCCCCUGGGCCUGUACUGACGCUCAUGCACGAAAGCGUGGGGAGCAAACAGGAUUAGAUACCCCCGUAGUCCCUGUCUCUUAUAU